rnacentral:rRNA from 1 species
CGAACGAAGUAGCAAUACUUAGUGGCAGACGGGUGAGUAACAUGUGGGUAUCUUCCCUUUGGUGAGGAAUAACACGAGGAAACUUGUGCUAAUACCUCAUAAGUCUUUACGGAGAAAGCUUUAUGCGCCAAUGGAUGAGCCCGCACUUGAUUAGUUUGUUGGUGGGGUAAUGGCCUACCAAGACUUUGAUCAAUAGCUGAUCUGAGAGGAUGAUCAGCCACAUUGGGACUGAGACACGGCCCAAACUCCUACGGGAGGCAGCAGUAGGGAAUAUUGCACAAUGGAGGAAACUCUGAUGCAGCGAUGCCGCGUGAGUGAAGAAGGCCUUUGGGUUGUAAAGCUCUUUCGUCGGGGAAGAAAAUGACGGUACCCGAAUAAGAAGGUCCGGCUAACUUCGUGCCAGCAGCCGCGGUAAUACGAAGGGACCUAGCGUAGUUCGGAAUUACUGGGCUUAAAGAGUUCGUAGGUGGUUAAAAAAGUUGGUUGUGAAAUCCCGAAGCUUAACUUCGGAACUGCAAUCAAAACUUUUUAGCUAGAGUAUGAUAGAGGAAAGCAGAAUUUCUAGUGUAGAGGUGAAAUUCGUAGAUAUUAGAAAGAAUACCAAUUGCGAAGGCAGCUUUCUGGAUCAUUACUGACGCUGAGGAACGAAAGCAUGGGUAGCGAAGAGGAUUAGAUACCCUCGUAGUCCAUGCCGUAAACGAUGUGUGUUAGACGUUGGAAAUUUAUUUUCAGUGUCGCAGCGAAAGCAGUAAACACACCGCCUGGGGAGUACGACCGCAAGGUUAAAACUCAAAUGAAUUGACGGGGACCCGCACAAGUAGUGGAGCAUGUGGUUUAAUUCGAAGAUACGCGCAGAACCUUACCAACACUUGACAUGUUCGUCGCGGCUCUAAGAGAUUAGAGCUUUCGGUUCGGCCGGACGAAACACAGG